rnacentral:rRNA from 1 species
GGUUAAGCGACUAAGCGUACACGGUGGAUGCCCUGGCAGUCAGAGGCGAUGAAGGGCGUGCUAAUCUGCGAUAAGCGCCGGUAAGGUGAUAUGAACCGUUAUAACCGGCGAUACCCGAAUGGGGAAACCCAGUGUGACUCGUCACACUAUCAUUAACUGAAUCCAUAGGUUAAUGAGGCGAACCGGGGGAACUGAAACAUCUAAGUACCCCGAGGAAAAGAAAUCAACCGAGAUUCCCCCAGUAGCGGCGAGCGAACGGGGAGGAGCCCAGAGCCUGAAUCAGCAUGUGUGUUAGUGGAAGCGUCUGGAAAGGCGCGCGAUACAGGGUGACAGCCCCGUACACAAAAGCGCAUGUGCUGUGAGCUCGAUGAGUAGGGCGGGACACGUGGUAUCCUGUCUGAAUAUGGGGGGACCAUCCUCCAAGGCUAAAUACUCCUGACUGACCGAUAGUGAACCAGUACCGUGAGGGAAAGGCGAAAAGAACCCCGGCGAGGGGAGUGAAAAAGAACCUGAAACCGUGUACGUACAAGCAGUGGGAGCCCCACCACCAAAGCAUUCUCUGGUGUUGAAGGCCCUGCAAAGCAGCAUCGCGGUGGCGGAGCGUCGUUUGCGACGCCCAACACACAAAACAAGCGGUGAGUGCUUUGGGGUGGGGUGACUGCGUACCUUUUGUAUAAUGGGUCAGCGACUUAUAUUCUGUAGCAAGGUUAACCGAAUAGGGGAGCCGGAGGGAAACCGAGUCUUAAUUGGGCGUUAAGUUGCAGGGUAUAGACCCGAAACCCGGUGAUCUAGCCAUGGGCAGGUUGAAGGUUGGGUAACACUAACUGGAGGACCGAACCGACUAAUGUUGAAAAAUUAGCGGAUGACCUGUGGCUGGGGGUGAAAGGCCAAUCAAACCGGGAGAUAGCUGGUUCUCCCCGAAAGCUAUUUAGGUAGCGCCUCGUGAAUUCAUCUCCGGGGGUAGAGCACUGUUUCGGCUAGGGGGCCAUCCCGGCUUACCAACCCGAUGCAAACUGCGAAUACCGGAGAAUGUUAUCACGGGAGACACACGGCGGGUGCUAACGUCCGUCGUGAAGAGGGAAACAACCCAGACCGCCAGCUAAGGUCCCAAAGUCAUGGUUAAGUGGGAAACGAUGUGGGAAGGCCCAGACAGCCAGGAUGUUGGCUUAGAAGCAGCCAUCAUUUAAAGAAAGCGUAAUAGCUCACUGGUCGAGUCGGCCUGCGCGGAAGAUGUAACGGGGCUAAACCAUGCACCGAAGCUGCGGCAGCGACACUGAUGUGUUGUUGGGUAGGGGAGCGUUCUGUAAGCCUGCGAAGGUGACCUGUGAGGGUUGCUGGAGGUAUCAGAAGUGCGAAUGCUGACAUAAGUAACGAUAAAGCGGGUGAAAAGCCCGCUCGCCGGAAGACCAAGGGUUCCUGUCCAACGUUAAUCGGGGCAGGGUGAGUCGACCCCUAAGGCGAGGCCGAAAGGCGUAGUCGAUGGGAAACGGGUUAAUAUUCCCGUACUUGGUGUUACUGCGAAGGGGGGACGGAGAAGGCUAUGUUGGCCGGGCGACGGUUGUCCCGGUUUAAGCGUGUAGGUGUGUGUUCCAGGUAAAUCCGGUUCACUUUAACACUGAGGCGUGAUGACGAGGCACUACGGUGCUGAAGCAACAAAUGCCCUGCUUCCAGGAAAAGCCUCUAAGCAUCAGGUAACAUCAAAUCGUACCCCAAACCGACACAGGUGGUCAGGUAGAGAAUACCAAGGCGCUUGAGAGAACUCGGGUGAAGGAACUAGGCAAAAUGGUGCCGUAACUUCGGGAGAAGGCACGCUGACACGUAGGUGAAGUGAUUUACUCACGGAGCUGAAGUCAGUCGAAGAUACCAGCUGGCUGCAACUGUUUAUUAAAAACACAGCACUGUGCAAACACGAAAGUGGACGUAUACGGUGUGACGCCUGCCCGGUGCCGGAAGGUUAAUUGAUGGGGUCAGCGCAAGCGAAGCUCCUGAUCGAAGCCCCGGUAAACGGCGGCCGUAACUAUAACGGUCCUAAGGUAGCGAAAUUCCUUGUCGGGUAAGUUCCGACCUGCACGAAUGGCGUAAUGAUGGCCAGGCUGUCUCCACCCGAGACUCAGUGAAAUUGAACUCGCUGUGAAGAUGCAGUGUACCCGCGGCAAGACGGAAAGACCCCGUGAACCUUUACUAUAGCUUGACACUGAACAUUGAGCCUUGAUGUGUAGGAUAGGUGGGAGGCUUUGAAGUGUGGACGCCAGUCUGCAUGGAGCCGACCUUGAAAUACCACCCUUUAAUGUUUGAUGUUCUAACGUGGACCCGUAAUCCGGGUUGCGGACAGUGUCUGGUGGGUAGUUUGACUGGGGCGGUCUCCUCCUAAAGAGUAACGGAGGAGCACGAAGGUUGGCUAAUCCUGGUCGGACAUCAGGAGGUUAGUGCAAUGGCAUAAGCCAGCUUGACUGCGAGCGUGACGGCGCGAGCAGGUGCGAAAGCAGGUCAUAGUGAUCCGGUGGUUCUGAAUGGAAGGGCCAUCGCUCAACGGAUAAAAGGUACUCCGGGGAUAACAGGCUGAUACCGCCCAAGAGUUCAUAUCGACGGCGGUGUUUGGCACCUCGAUGUCGGCUCAUCACAUCCUGGGGCUGAAGUAGGUCCCAAGGGUAUGGCUGUUCGCCAUUUAAAGUGGUACGCGAGCUGGGUUUAGAACGUCGUGAGACAGUUCGGUCCCUAUCUGCCGUGGGCGCUGGAGAACUGAGGGGGGCUGCUCCUAGUACGAGAGGACCGGAGUGGACGCAUCACUGGUGUUCGGGUUGUCAUGCCAAUGGCACUGCCCGGUAGCUAAAUGCGGAAGAGAUAAGUGCUGAAAGCAUCUAAGCACGAAACUUGCCCCGAGAUGAGUUCUCCCUGAGACUUUAGGUCUCCUGAAGGAACGUUGAAGACGACGACGUUGAUAGGCCGGGUGUGUAAGCGCAGCGAUGCGUUGAGCUAACCGGUACUAAUGAACCGUGAGGCUUAACCUU